rnacentral:rRNA from 1 species
AGCGAACGCUGGCGGCGUGCCUAACACAUGCAAGUCGAACGUGAAAGGGAGCAAUCCCACGUCAAGUGGCGUACGGGUGAGUAACACGUAGGUAAUCUACCCCAGAAUCUGGAAUAACCGGCCGAAAGGCUGGCUAAUACUGGAUAGAGCGACGGAAUCCGUAAUUGGGUUUUUCGGGAAAGGGAGCCUGUAAAAAGGCCUUCGUUCUGGGAUGAGCCUGCGUCCCAUCAGCUAGUUGGUGAGGUAAAAGCUUACCAAGGCAAUGACGGGUAGCUGGUCCGAGAGGACGAGCAGCCACACUGGAACUGAAACACGGUCCAGACUCCUACGGGAGGCAGCAGGGGGGAAUCUUGCGCAAUGGACGAAAGUCUGACGCAGCAACGCCGCGUGAGGGAAGAAGGGCUUCGGGUUGGAAAGCUCUGUCGAGUGGGACGAAAAUGCUUGGAGUUCACAGCUCCAGGAACUGACGGUACCACUAAAGGAAGCACCGGCUAACUCCGUG